CAGUAGCCGCGGUAAUACGAAGGGGGCUAGCGUUGUUCGGAUUUACUGGGCGUAAAGCGCACGUAGGCGGACUUUUAAGUCAGGGGUAAAAUCCCGGGGCUCAACCCCGGAACUGCCUUUGAUACUGGGAGUCUUGAGUUCGAGAGAGGUGAGUGGAAUUGCGAGUGUAGAGGUGAAAUUCGUAGAUAUUCGCAGGAACACCAGUGGCGAAGGCGGCUAACUGGUCCAUAACUGACGCUGAGGUGCGAAAGCGUGGGGAGCAAACAGGAUUAGAUACCCCUGUAGUCCCUGUCUCUUAUAC
rnacentral:rRNA from 1 species